rnacentral:rRNA from 1 species
AUGAACGCUGGCGGCGUGCCUCAUCCCUGCCAGUCGCGCGAACAGACGAGGAGCUUGCUCCUCUGACGUUAGCGGCGGACGGGUGAGUAACACGUGGAUAACCUACCUAUAAGACUGGGAUAACUUCGGGAAACCGGAGCUAAUACCGGAUAAUAUAUUGAACCGCAUGGUUCAAUAGUGAAAGACGGUUUUGCUGUCACUUAUAGAUGGAUCCGCGCCGCAUUAGCUAGUUGGUAAGGUAACGGCUUACCAAGGCGACGAUGCGUAGCCGACCUGAGAGGGUGAUCGGCCACACUGGAACUGAGACACGGUCCAGACUCCUACGGGAGGCAGCAGUAGGGAAUCUUCCGCAAUGGGCGAAAGCCUGACGGAGCAACGCCGCGUGAGUGAUGAAGGUCUUCGGAUCGUAAAACUCUGUUAUUAGGGAAGAACAAAUGUGUAAGUAACUAUGCACGUCUUGACGGUACCUAAUCAGAAAGCCACGGCUAACUACGUG